GACGAACGCUGGCGGCGUGCUUAACACAUGCAAGUCGAACGGAAAGGCCUCUUUCGGGGGGUACUCGAGUGGCGAACGGGUGAGUAACACGUGAGUAACCUGCCCUUGACUUUGGGAUAACUUCAGGAAACUGGGGCUAAUACCGGAUAGGAGCUCCUGCUGCAUGGUGGGGGUUGGAAAGUUUCGGCGGUUGGGGAUGGACUCGCGGCUUAUCAGCUUGUUGGUGGGGUAGUGGCUUACCAAGGCUUUGACGGGUAGCCGGCCUGAGAGGGUGACCGGCACCAUUGGGACUGAGACAGGGCCAAGACUCCUAGGGGGGGCGGGGGGGGGGAAUAUUGCAAAAGGGGGGGAAGCCUGAGGCAGCACCGCCGUGUGGGGGAGGAGGGCCUGGGGGUGGUAACCCGUUUUCCCCCAGGAAAAAGUUUUGGGGGACGGUAGGGGGUAAAGAAGCCCGGGCAAACUACGUG
rnacentral:rRNA from 1 species